rnacentral:rRNA from 1 species
AUUGAACGCUGGCGGCAGGCCUAACACAUGCAAGUCGAGCGGAGCGGCGGACGGGUGAGUAAUGCCUAGGAAUCUGCCUGGUCGUGGGGGAUAACGUCCGGACACGGGCGCUAAUACCGCAUACUAUCAGAUGAGCCUAGGUCGGAUUAGCUAGUUGGGGGGGUAAAGGCCUACGAAGGCGACGAUCCGUAACUGGUCUGAGAGGAUGAUCAGUCACACUGGAACUGAGACACGGUGCAGACUCCGACGGUAGGAAGCAGUGGGGAAUAUUGGACAAUGGGCGAAAGCCUGAUCCAGCCAUGCCGCGUGUGUGAAGAAGGUCUUCGGAUUGUAAAGCACUGUAAGUUGGGAGGCGUUACCAACAGAAGAAGCACCGGCUAACUUCGUGCCAGCAGCCGCGGUAAUUC